AGCCCGGCAAUGAAGAGAAGAGUACAUGAACGGAAUCGGCACAGAGAGCUCCCAUAUCGGUGCAAGGGAGAGCGGGGAAGUUCGUGGAAGAUGGCCUCUGAGCGGAUAACCGAAUCGUUAAGUUAUCUGGGUGCGCCCAUUACAGCGCUAUGGUAUUAAAGGCUUUCGCCUGCGUACCUGAAGAGGCUUGCCUUGUAAAGGGCGAGCGAAAUUGGGUGGUAACACGGUACUUCCGUCCCUACA
rnacentral:ncRNA from 1 species